CACGUAGGGCGCAAGCGUUGUCCGGAAUUAUUGGGCGUAAAGAGCUCGUAGGUGGUUUGUUACGUCUGCUGUGAAAACCUAGGGCUUAACCCUGGGCUUGCAGUGGAUACGGGCAGACUAGAGGUAGGUAGGGGAGAAUGGAAUUCCUGGUGUAGCGGUGAAAUGCGCAGAUAUCAGGAGGAACACCGGUGGCGAAGGCGGUUCUCUGGGCCGUAACUGACGCUGAGGAGCGAAAAGCAUGGGGGAGCAAACGGGG
rnacentral:rRNA from 1 species